GACGAACGCUGGCGGCGUGCCUAAUACAUGCAAGUCGAACGCUGAAGAGAGGAGCUUGCUCUUCUGGGAUGAGUUGCGCACGGGUGAGUAACGCGUAGAUAACCUGCCUUGUAGCGGGGGAUAACUAUUGGAAACGAUAGCUAAUACCGCAUAACAAUGGAUGACACAUGUCUUUUAUUUGAAAGGGGCAAUUGCUCCACUACAAGAUGGACCUGGGUUGUAUUAGCUAGUAGGUGAGGUAAUGGCUCACCUAGGCGACGAUACAUAGCCGACCUGAGAGGGGGGUCGGCCACACUGGGACUGAGACACGGCCCAGACUCCUACGGGGGGCAGCAGUAGGGGAUCUUCGGCAAUGGGGGGAAACCUGAACGGGCAACGCCGCGUGGGUGAAGAAGGUUUUCGGGUUGUAAAGCUCUGUUGUAAGGCAAGAAAGAGUUGGAGAGUGGAAAGUGCACGCUAUGACGGUAGCUUACCAGAAAGGGACGGCUAACUACGUG
rnacentral:rRNA from 1 species